GUUGUUGCAUCACUGAAGUUGCUAGGUUUGGGUUUGUUAGGGAAAAAAUCCCAACAAAUUAAAGCAGAUCCAAUGUCUCCUUGCCAGCACUUGCUGCAUUUGGCCUUGGUGAAUUAAUUUGAAAAGUAGUGAUGUGUAAUGGUAUGUGACACGUUCUCAUAUCCUUGGGACAGCUGCGUGCACUGGAGAAAUGCAGCUUCCUUCUGAACACAGUGAGAAAGAAGGGGAAAAAGAGAGGGGGGACUGUUACGAACAGCAUUAACAUAGCUUGGGGAUGAGAUCAUCCUCUCCUGUGCACCUGGGAGCUGGGAGGGUUCGUUAAAAAAACUGUUUAGUCAUUUCAGUGAGGUGGAAGAGCACUGCUCUCUUCUGGUAAUGGGCUUGGAGGAGGAGGAGGCAGCAGUGCUGCUAGUCAGGGGCAGCUUGCAGCCCCCGGCAUGCUGCCCAGGAGGUGCAGGUUCCGAUAUAAAUCCUUCCUUAAGUGCCUUCCUGCUUUGUAAAUGCUUCAUUUAAGACAAAACCUGCAAAAUUCCCACACAGCUGACGUUCUAGCCUCCUGGCCUUCCCUGUAUGACUUCUCAGUGAUUUCUAAUGCUGGCUAAAUGACAGGUUCCACCUGCAGCUGGGGACCAGCACCAACAACCAUCACCUGGACUUACCUAAGGAAGGAAUGUGUUCGGUGCACAAAGUAACCCCUGCGUUUCCCUGUAAUUGCAGCAACUGUGUGUUGGACAGAUGGCCAAUCCCCAGCAUCAUGUCAGGGGAGUUCUGCUUAGUUUUCUGUGCACCCAGCUUUAAUUACAGUUCUUCCAGACAUAUUUAUUCUAAGUUAACUGCGACGAGCUGCAUCAGAAUAAGAUGCUCCUUCCCAGCAGCACCUUCUGCUCGCUUCCCCUAGCUGGGAAUGCCUUCCUGAUGCUCCUCAGGCAGACUUAGCUUGAUGUUUUACUCCCAUCUAGUGCUUCUUUAUUAAAACUGCUGGUGCUCUGCGUCUCGCACAGGGCUGAGCAAACGCUAUCUUGUCUCUAACCUGGUGGUGUCUGCUCAGGAUACAUAAACUCUGUUAAACACCAGUGACUCGCAGCCUGCCCUGCCAGGACUGAGCAUCUCACGGCCCGACAGGGCAGGUCAUGAGCCUCACUGGCAGCUGGGGGUCAGCACUGCCCCAGCUGCGUGCCAAGGGAUUGCUGGAGAGGGUUAGACCUCCUUUCCCCAUCGUUUCUUCUAGAGGUGAGGAAGCAAACCUUCCCCAGCCACUGAGCAUUUGAAUGCGUGGGCACCACUGGACGAAGUGAAUAUUGUCACUGAGGAAGGCUUUGGUCUGUGGGACCAGGUCCCAUGGAUUUAGAAUGAAAGUAAGUGUCUUAAGUGUGUCAAAUACUCAGAAACCACAGGCACUUCCGGGAGUCUUAUUCCCUGUCUUUCCUUUUCCUUUCAUGCUGUUUUGGUACCAAGGUGCUUUUUCUUUUUUCCUUUUUUUAAAUUGACUUUUUUUAUGUCUUUCUGUUCCUUCUAAUCAAAAUUCUGACUGAGCUUUCUCUUUGAACUAAUUUAUAUGAUGAAUGUUUUAGGAGUGUGAUGAGGAAAUACGGAUAAUCUUAGGCUUGUGAUUGAAUAUUUACAGGCAUAAUACAGGCUUCAAGCCAUCUCUAAGUGUUUGGCAGCCCAUGCCUGACCGAGGAAAUAAGCACUCAGGUAAGAUGACCAACUCUCAUUAAAAUUUAGUGAAGGUCAUUAGUUUGCUCUUACUUAGUGAAUUUUCCCUGGGUGACAUAUUGCCCAACGGGGUAUGAUAGCAUAAAUAUGGAAUUUUAGUAUGUGUUUUUUGAAGAUGAGCAAAGCAGGCAGAUGGGCAACUGGGGCCUUAACAUCACUAUAGCUAUCUCUCUUGAUUAAACUAUUAGCACAUUAAUUAAAAUUACUCUAGGGAGCACGUGCAUGGGGUGGGAAAACUGGCAAUCAUGCCAGACCACAGGUGGAGGUGCUGAGUUCUGGGCAGAGCAGCUUUAGGUAGGUAAGCACUCAUCUGGUGGGUUCCUGCACCACUGAGUCAGUGGCACCUCUGCCCUUGCCAGCAUUACCUUUUAUCUGCAGCAAGGCUUUGUGGGCUAGGCUGAGUAAUGAGAUAGGUAAUGUGAUGUCCCCACAUUUCUUUAACAUCUCUUCCCAUGGUCACUGACAAACCUUUUUGCUUUUUCUAUUGUUGAGGUUUCAUUAUGAUGAACAUAAACAGUUCCCCAUUUUAUACCCACCACUGAACCUCCCUGAGACAUUCUGCUUUUUAUCCUAAGUUUCUGCGGUCUUUCUAUCCCCUCUGCUGCUCACAUGACCACAUAUUCCAGCUUGGAUUGAAACAACCUCUGUGCUUUUUGCUCAGCUGAUGUUUCCUGCCCAAGGUCCUGGUUUCUGCUUGGUGCUUUGGCCACUUGUGGCACAUCAAAGACCCCUUCUGCUACCAAAAAUUCAUACUCCUGCCUCUGUGUGCUGCCACUGCACUUCCUUAGUUUUAUUCCGCUGCUUCUUCAUGAGUAAUCAAAACCCUUUCCUUAAAUGCUUGGUGUUUUUUUUUUUUUUCUCUGCAUCCUUCCUUAUUUCCCAUUCCUUUCAUCUUCCAAUGGGGUGCAAUCUGCCCUGAUUUUUUCUCCCCUUAGUUCAAACCCCAGUGAAUAUCUAGGCAGAGCUGUUCUCCUCUCUCCACAGUUAGAUGUGGCUUGCUUUCUUCUUCUUUUAUGCUUCUUUCCCUCUCUUCACAGUCAGUUUAACCACAGACGUGAAACCUCCACCGUAUUCCAUUUAGGAGCAGAGACCGUAUUGCCUGAAACCACUGCAAACCUAUAAAGUUCUGUGUUUGUUUAGCAGGAACAAAGAUUAUUUUUGCAAGAAGGUGAUGAAACAGCAAAGUUAGAGUUCUUCCAGCAGCAGAAAAUGCACAAAGGCAGGCAAUGUUUAUAGGCAGAUAAAUAUCAAAUGUAAUGCACUGAUUAAUAUUCCAGCAGGAUGGACUUUUAUGAACUGGCAUGUCAUUCUGUAGGUUUUAUUUUUAACAGAUGGGAAAGGAAAACAACAUUUGGUCUAGAGCCUCUGUCUGUCUGAAUGAGGUUUUGCUCAUUUGGGGGGCUGCAGCUAUUCUAAACAUGGCAACCUGAUUUAAUUAGCUGACUAGGAUCCUGCUUCAUCAGGGUUUUUUUUUUGUGUGUGGAUAAAUGCACUCUAGCAAAACUGACAGUACUCAGAGCUCCAGACUGCUCCCGCCAAGUUUCCAUCUGAAAUGUGCAAACAAAAUAGCUGAUGAAAUAAUAGACAUGCUCACGCUGGAAACCUUUCUCUUUCCUUUUUCAGGGAAAUUGAAUAUCUAUUGAUUUAUCAUUUCUACCAGAUGGGGAUCACAGCAGUAGUUCCUCUGUGUUUUCACAAGCAGUGUCUUUCACAGAGUUUGCUUUGGUUGACAAGUUAUUUUCCUUCUGAUUUGAGUCUGCCUCUAAUGUGUGCUUUUGGGGUAUUGAUUUCACCAGCAGACAAGCUCUGAUUAUGGCUGUUGCAAGGCUGCCAAGGUCCUGCGAUGUGCAGAAGUCUCUUUGAGUUUCUUCUUCCUGAAAGGCCUAGGCUUCUUAGGGCUAGGAUGAAAAGCAUGAGACCCAUUAAGCAAAGAAGCCAAUCCUGAUGCCUAGGAGGGGUUGCAAAGGCAGUUGGAAUAAAAAGUGAUGCCAAGUCCUUUGUGCAUCUUUGUAUGUGGCACAGGUGCCACAUUGACGCAAAAUGUUUGGAGACUGUCUCCCCGAGAAAGUCUGUUGUCUUAAAUGCAAGUUCCAAUUAUAGUACAAACCCAGCAUUAGGGGCUUUUUGUUUUCAAGUGUGUUGUGCUGAGCUAGGCUUAUCAUCAAGAAGACAAGGGAAUUAACCUUGGUUUAUUAAUUUUAUGUAGACAUUAAUAGUUGCAGCAUCAGCAUUUCCUUGAUUUAGCCACGCGGGUACCACACACAGUAUAGAACUGAAGGAAUGCCAUCUGGGAAUUGAGAGCUGCCCAGUUUUUCAGUCUGCCUUCCCAAGGUUAUAUGACAUCAGUCUCUGAUCAACUGCCCUUUCUGUUGGCUAGUUUCCACCUCAAUUGAAAGGGACAUAAGUCCUGGAAAAGUAAAUUCCCCACUGAAACCCUAGAGGGAACCAAUGAGAAAAAGAGAAGAAGGUGUCAGGUCUCACUGAAUCUCCUUGUCAGCAACCGGCAGGACCUCGGGGUGUAUGUUGGCUUGCCAACCUGCUUAUGAAUAUUUCCAGAUUGGCUACCACACAUAUUGCUCCUUCUUGGUGUUGUCAAAGACAAAUGAGAGCAGGCAGUAGGAGUUACUGCACGUAGGAGAAGACAUUUUAUGGGAUAUCUGACACAUCCAAGGGGAAAAAAAAACCAAACAUUUUUGCUGCCCAGGAAACUGUUUGGAUACUUAGCUGGUCUGGCUUGUUUUGUUUUGUUUUUCCCUCAGAAAAAGUCUGAAUUGUACUGCUUCUUUAUUCCACCAUUCUUUCCCCCUGCAUAUUUCAACUAGCUCCCCUCUGCCAUGAAGUGUUCAUGACAGAGAAAGUAAGCCAGCUGACUGAUGGCUGAGGAAGAGAUUUUCUGCAGGUUAUGGGGCCAUGUGAAGGUGAUGACAGUUACAACAGCGCUGAACUGGCAUAGAAGAUCACAGCAGACCCUGGGCUAUGUAGUUGCUCAAUCUAGUAAUUUAAAUUGCCACCUUGCUUCCCACUGUUGCAGUUUUUCAGUGUUCUUGAAAAUUAUCAUUGCAUGUAUUUACAUAUAUUUACACAUAUACAUAGGUUUAUGCCUUGCUCCCUGAACAGGAAGGUUAUUGCUUGGUCUCAUGUUUUUGACAGCAAGUACAUCUGGAAUCCACUUCCAGCUUCUGCACGUAGGUGAUUUCCUUCUAGUAGGACACCGUGUAAUCCACACCUGGUGCAAGGGCAGAGCUAUUCCACAGCUCCAGAGUACAAAAUCCUCCCUGUGCAGAUCAGCUUCUCGGAGGCUGAGGGGCCAUGCGUGUUCUAGUACUCUUCUGUUCAACCAAAGUCUUCAUUUUCUGUCUUUUUAGAAACCUGUUUAGAAACAUCCUUUACCUUAGGAUGAGAAGUCUGCUUUGGUCUCAAGCCCUGUCUCCCAGAGUUAGAGCAGAGCAAUACAGUAUAACCGAAGCUUCGUCUUUUGUGUGCAUAGCAAUGUGGAGUUUAAUUAAAAAUCUCACUUUCUGUUAUUUUUACUGCAGAUGACUGCUUCAGUGGGUGCCCAAGAAAACAGCAGGAUAAACUAACAAAAUGAAGCAGGGCUGUAUAGUGAAAGUGUUUGUUGUCUGGAGGACUCUGGCUUCGCUUGCUGAAGAAGGCUGAAAAUGCAUAAUGAAUGAGACAGGAUACUCCAGAAAGCCAUAAAAUGGUCUCAGAGGGCAUGUUUGAUACCUCUGUGGGGAGCUAGGUUCUGUAUCUUGCUCAGCCACAGGCUUGGUUCCUAUCCCUUGAACAGAAAAGUUUACCAUACCAUGCAUGCUUCUCAGCUUCUCAUUUUUUGUAUGUGCAAGGCAAGGCAGAUGGGACUAUUUUUUUUUUUUAGAGAGGUGUUACCUGCAGAUGAAGUGACCGCAGCUUUGCCUAUGGAAUGAGAUAUAAAAAAGCUCAGAGUUCUAUAAAAUGAACCAGGAUCUAAGCCUGGGUAUUAAAAAUUCAUAGAUGUUUUUCAUAGGUCUAUACUGAAAUUUCCACCGUGUUGGUACUUUGUGUGCAACAUGAGGGCAGUAAUUCCUAAGUGUCUUAGCCAAACUGUAGAGGAAUCCUUAAUAUUUUGGAGGUACAAGAUGUUGCAGUGGAAAUAUUUGUGAGGAAAACACAAAUUUUAUGCUCGAGGAAGCAAGAUUUGGAAGGCAUGAGGUAAAUAAGGAUAAGUAAUGUGUAUUAUAGCAGCAUGCUAAAAAUAAACAGAAAUAUUUAGCCAUUCACUGAGGAAGACAAGGACGUUGUAUAAAAAUAUAGUCUACAAUCAUGUAAUUAAAGCCUGCAUUGUAAUUUGAAGAAGCUGAAGUAAAGGAGCUGUGUGGGUGGCUUUAGCUCUGUUGUCUUUGUCACUGAGUUUCUGCUUUAAUAGGUAGCUUUUCAGAUGUUGUUGGAUAUGUGACAGCGUGGUAAUAACUUCCACAACACAAGUUUAACAGUGCUCUGAAAGCAAAUAUCUUGCUUUGAAACAGGUACAUUUCACUGGACAAAAUCCUCUCUUUCAUCUCAGCACUCCUCUAUUCUCUUCACUCCCUUCUUUGGAGGAAAGAAGGCUCCAGGGAGACCUCAUUGUGGCCUUCCAAUAUUUGAAGGGAGCCUACAAACAAGAGGGGGUAUGUCUGUUUACAAAGGUGGAUAGUCAUAGGACAAGGGGGUUUUAAAGUCUCAGUUUUAAACUGAGAUGGGGGAGGUUUAGCUUAGAUAUUAGGAGGAAGUUUUUCACUCAGAGGAUGGUGACGCACUGGAACAGGUUGUCCAAGGAGGUUGUGGAUGCCCCAUCCCUGAAGGCACUAAAGGCCAGGCUAGUGGUCUGGUAGACCCUGCACAUAGCAGGGGGUUGAAACUAGAUGAUCUUUGAGGUCCUUUUCAACCUAGGCCAUUCUAUGAUUCUCCUGUUGCCACCUCCAUGGGACACCACGCGAGGGCCAGCAGCCUUUGGUUGGCCACAGGUCCUUCUGACACCUGUGACCAGGCAUUGGAGGUUCCCUGCCUCAUCUCUGUAUCUCACAGCUCCUGGAGUGGGCUGUGACAUAAAUUCCUUGCAGGGAGUACGGUGUGAUGAGGAAGCUGUGCUGGCCACCCCACUCAGCCCCACUGCCAUACCGUCUGUGGCAACAAUGGUGUGUGGUUGCAGGAGGCAGUGAUGCUGAAUGCAGGAAACCUGACGAUGGUAUAUUUUACAGCAUGGCAGCUGUAAUGCAGGAUCGUAAGAAAUGUUUGCAUUUUGAAAUGCUUUAUCUUCCAUUUAAGGGAUAGUGUUUCUGGCAGGGAAAGAAUAUAUAAGGGUAUUAAAUGGCUUUCUUUGCAGGCAAUUAAACAAGGAAGACGAUCAAAGACAUUUAAAUAAUUGUAACAGAUGUUUAUUGCCUGAUGCAGUUUACUGCCUCCUAUUAUUUCUGUUACAUACAGGAGAGAAGAACACAUGGCAAACUGUACCGCAAAAGAAAUUCUUUACUGGCUUGUGAGGAACGUGGCUGCUUCUCUGCCUUCUUAAUUGUAUCAUGUUGAGAACAAGUCAGUAAUAAGUAGUGUUUGGAGGGCAGAGAAGUGGCUUACUGCCUGGAGGAGCAGCAGCAAGUGGUGUGCAAAGACAUGGGGUUGGUGGUAAACACCUUUGAGACAACAGACUGCUGUGGGAUUGCUUCAAGAGUGAUGCUCAGCUCACUCACAUUAGGAAUUUCAGUUCCUCCUGAAGUUAUGCAGUUAGUACUGAGAGGGACAUCCUGGCUCAGGACAAAAGUGUUGGUGGCACUGUAAUCCUCAGUGACAUCUGGGAAUGGCCUCAGGUGGGCAACUAGGCAUUAAUAAAAGGCAAGCAUGUGACAACUCCCCCAGAUACUCCUCAAACAUUUUUGUUGUAGGGCCAGAUGUGUUUUCUUUGUCGUUAAUAACAUAAUAACAUACUUUAGUACUGUGUGUUUAAUUCUAUGUAUUUAAAAACAGAUUUUUCUUGCCUUGAAUUUAAGUGUUCAGAAUAGCCUAUGUAGGACAGUAAGUACCCUAGAGGAACCCAUGAGCUUUUCAUCACCAAUUAAAAGAAAGGGAUGUUUGUUUCCCUAAACAAUAACAAAAAAUUCUAACAAUGAUACUCCUCCCAAUCCCAAAUCCCCAUACAAAAGCCUAUAAACAUUCAAAAUCUAGGCUAGUGUCCCUCCAAUUGUUUUAUCCUUGGCUUUGACUAAAAUCUGAGGCUUUUUCAGCAAACAUCUCAUAUUUUCAAAUUCAGUAAUGACUUCAUACAUCCUACUAAUAGAAAAAAAAGACUUAUUGCCAUCAUUUCAGAACACAACUGGAAUAUUCAAUAUUCCCCAUCUCCCUUCCUCCCUCUUGCUGAAAGAGGAAGACUUCAGGGAGACUCUUUCUCAGAAGGAAUAACAAUUAUUUGAUGUGUUAUUGUUCCUCUACAGAUCACACCUCUCAUCUGGGGCAGAUCUUUUCUCCUCCUUGUGUCCUGACAUCAUCAUAGGCAGCAAAGUCUGCAUUAAAGACAUGAACUAAUGACACAGGCACUGCACUCUAAGAGGUGGUUCCUUCAUGGGCAAUCCACAUUGAGGUGAUGCACAGCAGGGAAGGGAGCUGGCUCCAGCACCCAUCAGGAACUGCUGAAAGGUACUCUUGCUCCUGGGUUGUCAACACAAGAUUUAGUGUGAGUUCCUGAAAGUGUCUUAACAGGCAUAGAAAGCACUGAUUCCCUCAAGUCUGCAGAAACAUGAUGCACAGCAACCAUUAGCACUGGCUUACAUUGCAGAACAAAUUCUGUGGCAGGAUGAGCCAGGUGCUAUGAUAGCUAUGAAAUAGCUAUGAAAUAGCCAUGAUGCUAUUUCAUCUGAGUGAGAGAGGGAAUGAAUUUGGGUCCUGGGGGAGCAUAGAAAGUGGAUGUUAUGCAACUCCUGAAAGAAUCAAGAGCUGUGGCUGUAGCAACUGCCAAUAAAUAUACUCAAGUACUACUCUGCUGGGAAUAUCUACAUGAGGCAUGAAGUGUGCUUACACCAAAUUACCUGAGGACCGCAUGAUGUCAGUCACAAGGAAAACAAUGCUGUGGGUCUUGUAGAUGGUCCUCAGCCUUGCUAUGACAAGAAGGUGCUGAGUGUUUGAAUGGCUCCCAUCCACUGUGAUUGCAUGAAGACAGGUGGGUCUCUGGCCAUGCCUACUCUCAACCUGCAUGGCAUGUUGUCUGACACUGGUAAGGAGUAUCUCAAAUCUACAUGAGGCAAUCAACAUCAUUUUGUGGACAAUUUUACAUUUGAAAGCAUCUCUCUGGAGCUGUUUGUCUUCAAAACAGAGAGCCCAGGAGUGUUUAUUGCCUGUAGGCUUGGCCUGGGAGAAAAUGAAACCAGCUUGAUACUGGAGACUGGGAAAUGAUACCAUUGUAUCCUGUGAAGGCAAGAUGCAAGCUGGCAUCUCCCUGCUUCCUCUCAUCUGUAACUCCAGAAGAACUGUCUUGGCCUCUUUGGACUAAAAUGUUUCAAUGCUUUCAGCUCAGAGCAGCAUUUGGAGACCAAGUUUUUCUUCUGGUAAAACAUAAACUACAGCACAGAAAUAGAAGUAAAACAUUUGUUUGCUCAGCUCUAGUAACGUGGUGCCGAGGCAUGCCCGCAGGAUAAAUACCACUGGGUGGGAGAUGGGUAGGGAAAGGAGGAAGGUGAGCAAAGGAGAAUCAGUCUACCCCAGCAGUGGGAUGAGGAUCAUCAUCUCCACUUCUCAGCACAAACAGAUUUUACUAAACUUCCUGUAAGUUUGUCAAGAGUCCUCUUAGUGGUCUUUGACCUUCUGCUUGUCCUGGCCAUCUUAGAGGGUAGGAGCUCAACAAAAUCUCUCUCCUCUGCUUCCUGACUACUCAAGGCAUCCUUCCUGGAAAGAAUGAAUCACUCCCCAAGUGUCAUAGGAAAGACCAUAAGCUUUCCUUAAAGCUAAAGAAAUUCCAGUGUAAUUUCUCAGCUCCAGUGUGGGUCACUCCCUGGCACACCAGGGGCUUUCUUCAUGAACAGAAACCACUCUGCAUAAAUUGCCAUGGCAGAAAUGGGCCCGAGCAAACAAAGACAAUAUGAAUUUGGCUAAAUAAUGUAGAGACAUAAAUUUAAGGACAAAGGUGAACUGAAAAGCCUCCCAUCAGAGGUUGUCUGCACCUGCCCAUGCCAGCUCCAAAGGGGACUCUGCACCAGGGUGUCUUGCCCUUGGUCAGCUUUUCAGCUACACCCAACAAAAGCCUGUACUUCUGGAGCAUACCAGAGCAUCCCCACUUGCAGCUCCUUACCAAGUGAUAUGUGCAGAUCCCACCUUCGCCAAAUCCACUGCAAAUGCUUCCUGUUGAGACCCAGAGUCUCUCUUGGAGGCCCUGGGCCAGCUCUGGGGCCCACCUCACUGAUUGAACUCAGUGGGGUCACCCUGAGGACCAGCAGAUGGUAUCUGGCUUUUAGCUUCCUUCCAAUCUACCAUUGUCACAACUUGAAAACAAGCUAAAAACCGCUUUUCAUAAUUUCUUUCUUAGGCAAAACUCUUAGCAACAACCUUUUUGUGUGUUAGAAGGCAAUAAUCAAAUCACUCUGGCCUUUUGCUGAAGCAGAACAAAUCCAUGGCUGUGUUCCCAGCUGUAAACAAAGGUAAGCAGAUGUGGGACUGUGGUCAUCUCCUUCCCAGCAGGAGGGAUUAUCAGCACAACUCCAUAAAUAAUGAAAAUGUAAAUGGGGCAUAAAAUUCAUUUUUAGAAGAAGCUGGAGGCACUUUGUGUGCCACUUCUGAAGUUUUGGUGGAGAGUUCUCCCUGUCUCACCUUAUAAAAGUUGAGUGAUUUUCUUCUUGGUGAAUAUUUAAUAACUUUCAUGUGCUUACCUGAUCCCCUCUCCUCCUCCCCUCCUUCCUUCCUUUUGUAUUCUUUUCAGUGUUGUGCUUGCUUACUUCUUAAAAUGAUGAGUUCUUUUACCAUCCACCCCUAUUUUCCAUGUCUAACUAUCUUUCCCCUUCUUUCUUCUUCCUCUCUCCUAUUCAGACUGUUUUGUAUCCUGCAGGAUCUCUCAGCUGCACACUGGCGCCUUCCCCAGAUCCUAUUGCAGCCUUUGGGCAUCACCUCUUGUGCUUGGUUAUGAGUUUUCAGAAGCAGUGUCAGAGUAGCUGUCAGGAGGGAUGCUGAAAAUAUUAGAAAUUCAUGGAAACUACUGUUGUAUUCUCAGUUCGGGUCUCAUCACUGAGCAUAGAAGAUGGUGUGUAUUACUAUUCUCUAUGUACAUCUUCAUGAUCGUUGCCACCUGCAGAUAAUUUUAGAGACUUAUUCUGUUCUUGAGAGGAAAAAAAAGAAAAGCAGAACAAUCCACUCUGCUGCAAGGCUGCUAGUCCUGACAUAGUGUUGAUGGUGGUAGAUUUCAUAUCAAAACAGCAUCUGCCUUGCAAACAAGGAGCAGCUGGGCACUGGGUGCACCCAGGAGGAGAUGGAGCUUCCCCUGGCACGGGUUCCCUCCCUGCAAGUUGUGGGGCCACUCCAGAAAUGGCCCUGGGGGAUGGGCUUUCCUCAUCUGCACAAACACUUUGCCUAUUCCUUUUCUGAGAUGAGGAAGCUGCUGAGCACCUAUUCUUGAUCCUUAUGUGAACAUCAUGUCACAUGAGGGAUGCUCCUACCACAGGUGGCAUGUAUACAGCAGUGGAUUUUGUUGUUUUUUUUUUUUUUACAUACGGGACUAGGGAGCUCCUGGUGACUGUAGAUAGACCCCAGAAGAUCUCAGGCUCAUCUCCAUGAGGAACCUCUGCUGGAAGGUUGGUAAGGGGUUAACGUGUUUUUGAGUCUUUGAGUGACUUUUAAGGCUUCAUUCAGUGAUUCUGACAGUGUGAAGUCCUAGCGUUUUGGGGAGGGGAAAGUAUAACUGCACAGCAAACUUGGUAGAAGUGUCUGGAGCUGCUGCUGAAUUCAUUGAAACCUGUUGGGUUUUGGCAUUUAUUGGGGAAGGUAGAAGUAACAAAACGAGUGUAUGGCUCUCUUUAAAUGAGCCAUGUAAUGAGACUUCCUCUUACCCAUGAGUGGCAUGAGCUUUCAGAAGAGUCACCACUUGGAAGAACUGUUUGGAAAUCCCAUGAUGCAUGAGCUCUGCUUUGUGAAAGGUUGGCAGCUAGCAUGGAAUUUUGCAGAGGCUGCUUCCAGACAUCCAGGAGGCAAGUUCUUGUCAGAGGGCACAGGUUUGCACUGGCACAGCACUCUGUCUUGGCCACAAGCAGUGUCCCUGGCAACUGGCUGCUCCCAAGAGCGUGCCCUGUCACUGGGCAUUGUAACCCAUGGGACAAAGAGCAUCAGUGCCAUGUUACUGUGAGAGCACUCAGGACUGUGGCAAUCCUGUCUCCUGAGAAAUCAGGUUGACGUUUCUCAUGGUUCAAACUGGGGAGAAAAGUGGUGACCAUUUCUGUGGAAUGUAAAUUAAAGAAAGAUAUGUUUGGAAAUACUGCUGAGUCCUGAUCAUCUCAGGGUUGCUUCAUCUUUUUUUUCCCUUUUUUUUUUCUUUGUCUUUGUAGGCAUGUCAGAAUAUUGAAUAGCAUGAAGUUUUAUAAAAUAGAUACGCAAAAUUUCAAAACAUGGCAGCAAGCAGAAAUUUAGGCCAAUAAUAUGAUAAAGGCAAAAUGAUGCAUUUAAAUAUUAUUCAAAUGAAGUGAAGUAGCUAGAACCUCUCUGCCCAAUUUCUUCUCUGUCAAACUUAUUAGGCACUAACGUGUUCCUAUGAACAUAUUUUCAUUUUGACCAAAGAGGCUUUUUUUUUUCUAUUUUAUCCAUCAGAGAUUGUCUUGUUGAUAAAUUUUAUAUGGUUCUACUUCUGCAUCUGUGACACAUCAUGUUCUACAUCAUAUCCUCCCAAAAGCUGAUGAGGAUACCGCCUCUGCAGGAGACAGUCCCUUUUUCUGAGUGAACAGUAGGGCUUUUCCUCAAGAGUGGGGUUGGGAGAAAAAAACUGCUUUGAUCCAAUCCAGAACGACAACAUCCUGUUGUCCUUCUGUUGAAACGAAAAACAUUAUAAAUUGGAAGCAAAAAAAAAAAAAUUGCUCUACUCAAAUCAUUUAACUUUAUUUCUGUUCUGAGCAUCCGUUGGCCAAAGUGAGACAAUUGCAGCAAAUGCUGGGUUUAGGCACAUCUCACAGGUUCCUGUGAAUUGUGGUAGCCAUUUAGCACAUACAGAUGAACAUUAAGACACCUCCUUUGGUGCCUGCAGCACUCAUUGCUGGGAGCCCUUGGAGAACCCAGUUUAACCUUGUCUUUCAUUGGGCGGCAUUUACAUCCACGUGCCCCUGGAGACUUCCCUAAUGCCAUGAAUUGGGCAGUAUCCUGGGAUGGAAAAAUGCCAUUUCUCACAUUGAUGGUUUCCAGUAGCUAUAAAGCACUCCAAUGUUUAUUGGAACAAAGGCUGGAACAUAAGGGUUUCUCCUCUGAGCCCAGUGCCCUCAACAGAUGACGACUGAACUGGCUCAUCAAAUGUUUUAGUCUUUGUGGAAAUUGUAUCAAUUCCAUCAGGAGAAAAUGAGGAAAAUUUACCUCUGAGUGCCCAGAACCAAGCUGGUAAUAUUACUGCCCAAAAAGCUCUGGGAGUCCUGGUUACAGUCGUCUCCUCUCGUCUGGCAGACCUGACGCCAGGUUUGAUGUCAUCCAGGCAUCUUUGAUUUCUUUUUUGUGCUCACAGGGGAAUAGAGAGAAGGAUGGCAAGGGGGUCCCCAGUGUGUUCAAGGGAGAAGCAGCAGAUUUAAAAUAUAUUUGCAAUAGUAGCGAACAAAAAUGUUUGCUCUACAUGCAAUCCCCAGCAGUUUCUCCUGCCCUUGGAGGCAGACGGAGUGAAACUCUCGGUGUUGUCUCCUGGUCUUUGCCUCUUUCCCUGUUUUUGCACUGGCUAAUGCCCAGAUGAGUCAACCUCUGCAGUCACGUUAAGUAACAUGAUGUGGAGGUCUGUAGAACAGGAUUUGGUGUCAAGGAGGGAAACAGGGAGUGCUGAUUUAAGGUCCCUGCAGCACUCAUUUCACGUCAUGAAAGAGAAAGCAGAGAACAGAGUUGCAACUCAGGGACACAGAGCCAUGUGGUGCGUGUGCUGAAGGAGAGCUGCUUGCUGAAACAAAUCUCAUGGUUAAUGACUAGCACCAGGAGUUACAUCUGAAGUUACCAGUUGGCAGUGCUCGCCACACAUUGAUAAAACUCCAGGGAGGUGACUUGUCUUGCCUGAUGCCAUUUUUUAGGUCAUGUAAUACAAGAUCUGGGAACAGAGGGGGAAAUAAUUUGUCUGUGUUAAUAAAAGCUUACAGAGCUCUGUGGAUUUACAUGCCUCUUUGCAAACUUAGAUGUGUUUCUUACCUCAGGGAGUUUAUAUCUCCAAACCUUUCACAGGAAGCCCACUGAAUAAAUUCAGUUAGUUAUUUGGACAGGAUCAGUGCUGAGAUGAGAGUCAUCUAGCUCUGACUUUAGAAGUGAAUUGGAAGUCAACACCUGCAUGAGGUAAAUUUGAAGCAUUAUGCAAACUUACUUGUUUAAGCUCCUGACUAAGAAGCUUUUUUGUUUGCUUCCUUAUUUUUGUCAUGAUUUCCUCUUUGUACCAGAAACAUGCAAAAUGGUGCUGCUUUCUGCAGCUGGCCUCUGCUGUGCCUGACCAGUAGGGCUGCAGGUAGGCAGACAUCUGCUAAGCGCCAUGACACACGAUUGCUGGGGCUGAGCAGCAAGGAGGAGCCCAGGCAGACCAUCCACUAUAGCAGAACUGAAUUUUUGCCAUCCUCAAGAAUCUGGAAAAGCGAAGACCCGGCACUGACUGUGCUUAAGGCAGUGACUUUGUAGUCUUUGUCAGGGUGCUGCCUGAGGCUAGCUUCUGCUUGGGUUACACCAAAGGGAGGAAGGUCUGCAUGAGUUCUUUAGGGACCUCUAAUGAAUAUUAAGGGCUUUAGCAAUAUGAAACUUGCUUGAUUUUUGGGUCUGAGUGAAGUGUUGCUAUGCUGUGGUGAACCUGAACUUUGCUUCCUUGGUCCAAAGGCCUUUCCACGCCUUAAAAUAGAAAGAAGGGAGUUGCGUUCAGUUAAGUGAAAGGCACAUUACCUUGGACCCAUCUUUGUAACAAGCUGCUCCCGAAUUGCAGUCACAAUCAGAUCCAGAGACUAAAGUUGUAGCUGGAGCCUAUUGACAUCAUUAAUGGAAGUGUUUCAUUUAAAGCAGCAAGGAGCUGGCUGGCUGUAGUUGUGAGAAGCACCUCUUGCUGUUAGCAGGCAUUGGUCCUGCUGCGAAGGGGUUAAAUGAAUUCUGCUGGCCCUGGGGAAUGGGGAACUCAUUAUUUUCUUGGAGCAGGGAGGGGAGAGGGGAGGAAAGCUGAAGCCAGAGACAGAGAAAAGCCUUACAAUGAGGCCUCCCAGCUGCCCUUGGUAUAGGGUGCAGGACAAAGGGCUAGGAGGGCUGGGGCAAGCCCCAAGCUGGGCACGCACUGGCAAGUGGGCCCUGGCCAUUCAUGGCUGGCAUGGGGGCUAUGUGCCCAGAGGUGAUGCUGGACAGGUGGUUUGAGUUCAGUUAGCUGAACCUGUUGUCUGCACUUUUGCUGAGUUCUGUGGGAGCACUGGCUGAACCAGCGCCUGCUCAGCCAGCACACUCUGUUGCCUGACCUGCAUGGCCAUGUUGCUCACGUGAGCUGUGGGGUGACUCAGUCAGGGGUGGCAGUGAGAGCUCCAGUCUUGUCUUCUGCUGGGCUGACCCUUGACCUGAGCUUGAAUGGAAAGUGCUUCAUUAAUUUGGACUUCUUUUUUCUCCUAAAAAUUCUGUCACUUUAAAAGAUUUCAUUUCACUAGGAUUCAUAGAAAUCAAGAGGUACAGCUUCCUAACAUCCUUUAUUUUCUGACUUAAUGGCUUUUAGAGCUGCAUUACAGCCAAAAAGAAAGAGGAUGAGAGAAAAGUGUUAAUGUAGGAGCAAAGAAGGUCACUGGGAAACCUGGCUGCACAUUCAGAGAGAGCUUUUCCUGUGUCCAGGGAGUCUAGAGCCAAUGGUGAGUAGAGCAAGUUGCCUGUAGCUGUUGCUUGUAUGUUUGGGAGAAGCAGAGCCUGAUUUCUGGGCCAUAUGGUGAGAGCUCCAGCUUGUUGAGCAUCUCUUUGGAGCAGGCUGUCUACCUGGGCACAUGCUACUUAGUGAAUUUUCCCCUUUAAGCUCAGUGAGCAUUAGCUCCCUGCCCUACAGAUACCCUUCCAUGUGCCUGGGAUGCUGACUGGGGUGGAGCCCCAGUGGGCACCAGAUGAUGACCUCUGAACUUGCACUGAUGGCUGUGUCCAUCACUGACGUUUUUCUUGGAACUCAUGGAAUCAUAGAAUGGCUUGGUUUGGAAGGGACAUCAAAGAC
ensembl:lncRNA